UUCAAGAUGGCGAGGCUACAUCAGUUGAGGCAGUAUGGCGGCGCAUGUAGAAUACAAUAAUUUAGAAAGGUAGUCAGGUGCCCACAAAGAAGACAGCCGUCUCAUUUUAAUUGCUUCCAGAAGAUUCAAGUGGAGGAUGAUCAGUGCCUAGAUCCCAUAUUAAGCUGAAUGCAUUGUGAUUUCCAAUAAUUGAGACAGUGAUUCUGAAAGCUGUCUACAUUAAUGAAAAGAACAAUGUAGACAGCUUAGCAAUUUCACCUCUGGUACGUGGUCUAUACAGGGAUGUGCUUCUGCAUGCUGCAUUCUGGGUUCAGAUAGGAAGAAAGUGUCUUAAAACAGGUCAGAUUUUAGAAUAAAUUAUCAGUGCGUAUAAGCUGUAGUUCGUUAUUCAGUGGAAAUGGAGAUAGACGAUGUGCUACCCCCUCUCCCCUUGGAUCCACCUGGUUUUUUUGACCAAGAUGAGGGCAUAGCACCUCCACCACCUCCCCUGCAAACGUCCAGUGACGCAGAGGUAAUGGACGUUAGCUCUGGUGGUGAUGGACACACAGACACCCCAGGGGAAGGGGAAGCCAUGGCACAGCAACCCCUCGCUAAGGGCUCAAUCACUUUCUGUAGCCACCUCUCAGACGAGGCCAUUCCCAACCCUCAGUGCCCCAGAACAGCCCGCCACGCCCCCCCAGUCUCCGGGUUCCUACCAGACCUCAAGCUGCUCAGAGAUGUUAAGAUCCGUGUGAGCUUCACCGAAAGCAGCAGCAGCAGCAACAUCAACAGCAAAGACAGGAAGGUUUUGUACACAGGCGAAGGGCAGGAGGCAGGAAGUGAUGAUGGUUUAGACAGCAUGAAUGGUGAGAUGCAUGACUCCGGUGAGGGAAGCUCUGGAGCAGGAAACUUAGCAGGCAGGAGAUCAGACGAGUCCGAGGUAGACAUGGAAAACAAGGUAGAGUUUGCCGUCCUGGAUGAGCUCGACGACUACUACGAGAACUUCCUGGAUCAUGACGACACGGAGCACGGUGGCUUUAAGUCUGAGGGCAUAGCGCAGCAGGAUCAAGCGGAUGAGGAGACCGUGACUUUCGCCUAUGAGGAGGAGUUUGACAACGAUGUGGACGCCUUGCUGGAGGAGGGCAUGCCUGUCCCUAAAAAGAUGCGUCCGUCAGAGGACAAAUAUGGCGGGGAAAGUGAUCACCCGUCAGACGGAGAAGGAGGGGUUCAGCCCAUGAUGACCAAAAUUAAGACUGUCCUGAAGAGUCGUGGGCGCCCCCCCACUGAGCCUCUCCCAGACGGAUGGAUCAUGACAUUCCAUAACUCGGGCAUUCCCGUCUACCUGCACAGAGAAACCAGAGUGGUGACCUGGUCCAGACCCUACUUCCUUGGCACUGGCAGUAUUAGGAAACACGACCCUCCGACCAGCAGCAUCCCUUGCCUUCACUACAAGAAGAUCAAGGCUGUGGAGGAGAAGGAGCUGAAUGGGGAGGUGACCCAAAAUGUAGAGGUGACCCAAAAUGUAGAGGUGACCCAAAAUGUAGAGGUGACCCAAAAUGUAGACGUGACCCAAAAUGUAGACGGGACCCAAAAUGUAGACGUGACCCAAAAUGCAGAGGUGACCCAAAAUGCAGAGGAGACUCCUGUCAAACCAGUUGAUGAGACCAAUGGUGAAGAGAUGGCCGGUCCCUCUGAGGCUCCAGCUGAGGAGCAGUACGCUAUCCCUCCCUUCAUCGUGAUUGACGGGGUCCACGGGGGAGGAAGUACCCCCAAAAUAAGCCUGGCGUGUAAAAGGCCUCACGCAUUUGACACUGCACAGGGAGCAUUGGGACAAGUGAGAGCUAAAGUGGAGGUGUGCAAGGACGAGUCCAUAGACAUUGACGAGUUCCGGAUUUACCUGGAGAAAUGCUUUGACUUUGAACAAGUCACUGUGAAGAAGUUUCGCACGUGGGCCGAGCGACGGCAGUUCAACAGAGACUUGAAGAGGAAGCAGGCGGAGUGUGAGCGGCCCAUCCUGCCCGCCAACCAGAAGCUCAUCACUCUGUCGGUGCAGGACGCGCCCACUAAGAAAGAAUUCGUCAUCAACCCUAACGGGAAGUCUGAAGUUUGCAUCUUGCAUGAAUAUAUGCAACGUGUCCUAAAGGUUCGACCUGUUUACAACUUUUUUGAAUGUGAGAACCCAAGUGAACCCUUUGGAGCGUCGGUCAUUAUAGACGGAGUAACGUACGGCACAGGAACCGCAAGUAGUAAAAAACUUGCCAAAAAUAAAGCUGCUCGAGCCACACUGGAAAUCCUCAUCCCUGACUUUGUGAAGCAGACCUCGGAGGAGAAGCCCGUUGAGGGCGAUGAACUGGAGUAUUUUAAUCAUAUCAGUAUAGAAGACACAAGAGUGUACGAGCUGACCAACAAAGCAGGACUACUUUCGCCAUAUCAGAUUCUUCACGAGUGCCUUAAAAGAAACCAUGGGAUGGGAGACACCAGCAUUAAGUUUGAGGUGAUCCCCGGGAAAAACCAGAAGAGUGAAUAUGUGAUGACGUGCGGGAAGCACACCGUGCGUGGCUGGUGCAAGAACAAGAGGGUGGGCAAACAGCUGGCGUCUCAGAAGAUCUUACAGAUGCUUCAUCCCCACGUCAAGAACUGGGGCUCCCUGCUGCGCAUGUACGGCCGAGAGAGCAACAAGAUGGUGAAGAAGGAGAGCGCUGACAAGAGUGUGAUCGAGCUCCAGCAGUUUGCCAAAAAGAACAAGCCAAACCUCCAUAUCCUGAACAAGCUGCAAGAAGAGAUGAGGAAGCUAGCCACGCAGAGGGAGGAAACUAGGAAGAAGCCCAAGAUGACCAUAAAUGAGUCGGCCCAGCCGGGCAGCGAGCCCCUCUGCACUGUGGACGUUUGAAGUCCCUGCUGGAGCACUGAAACCCCGUCACUGUCAGACACUCCACCCCCCAUCACACACACACACACACACACCUGAUGGCAAUAUAGAUCCACAUUGACCAGGCCAGUAGAAACCCUUCCUCAGCUGGUAGAUGUGCACUAACAGUAGAGAAAUAUCACCUACCUCUCGAUGCAAACUAGCUAUACGGCACUUAAAAAACACUCCCCUAGCUGCAGACUUAGAAACAUAAACAGAUUCAAAUAAAAAUGCAUGUUUCUCUGACCGCAGUCAUCACCUUGGUUUUGUUUUGAAGUGUCGUUUUGAACACCUUGCAGCUAUUAGUUUUGUGCUUAACGUAUUUGAAAGGGACUACUAAUACGUGUAUCGUUUUAAUCGGGAAACAUACUAAUUUAUUUGGUAUUUUAAUGGUCGGUGUUAUGAAUAUUUUUUGGGGUGAAUACAUCAAAAGAAAUGCUGUUUUUGUUUAUCCUCAGAAUGGACACUUGCUGUCUUGGUUUGCACGAUUUUGAAAACAUGCGUUGUGAAGUGACGACUAUUCAGAACUCUUGUUAUGCACUUGUCACAUGUUUUUGACUGAUCAUGCUUAUGGUACAGGAGUAAUAGUGGAGAAACGUGUUGCCUUUCUUGACCCUUUGCUUUUGGAAGUACAAGAAUAAAACGUCCUAAUCUCUGAAGUAAAACACAAGCACAGAAAGAUAUGUAGAGCGCGAAGGAUCCUUUCUCUUAUGCUCUCAAGAGUACUAAUGCCACACACACACACCAAUAACCAUUUCAUUAGCUUGUUUGAGUUGCCUUAGUUUAUCAAUUUCAUGAAGGGCUCAGAGUAUAAUGGACCUAAAACACCCUUCAACAGGAAGUGGAAAGACCAAGCCCCCUGUACUCGAUAAAGCAUUUAGUAUUUGAGUGAAGACAGCCUGUGCAUAUUUUUUCUGAGAAUGGUCUUAAAGGAUUGUUUUGCUUUUCCAUUAUUAUAGUGAUUAUAUUUUCAAAACACAUGGUAGAAUACACUUUUCAAAAGGCAGCCUUGUACAUUUACGUUGGUACACUGACAGGAACAAACACAAGCUGGUGAGUGUGUAUACCAAAGCUAACAUACAGUCUUAUGCAUUUUAUAGAGUCCUUAUGUUACUAGAAACUGUACAGAAAAAACAACAGGAAAUACACAUUUCUUGCUGGAACAAACUACUGUGCAUUCAUUCUGUCAAGUAUUUGGCCUGUUUUUUUUUUUUUACAAAGUAAUCUUGAAUACAUCCCAGUUUAAAACAGGCUGUUGUGAUAUUGUAGGUUGAUUUUAAGAAUGUGCUUUCCGUUCUGUGCGUGUGUCAGUGUGAGAAGAAAUACAUACAGCUUUGUGUCGUUUGACAUGUUGCUGCCUAGAAAAUGAAGUAUGUAUUGCAACCUGAGCUCCAUGACUUCAGUGGUGUUUGUUAUGCAAAAUAAAAUGUCUUGACUAAUGA